GGGGGUGAAAUUUGGUUUCGACGGGGUUAAUGAGACGACGAAUAGCAUACCGUGUUUCCCGAAAAACACGUUAAACAUCGGACAAAAAAAAUAACUGGCGAAUCUAAUUACGCCUUAGCUGCUUAAUAUAAGCAGCCGUUCUAUAGUCUUUUGCGUACCGGGGAUUAUCAGAGCGUCGUUUAGGUAUGAUAGCUGAACCGAGAACCUGAGUAGGUGAUGUGAAAAUUUAUCAGGAAUACCGUCAGAAACGUUGCUUAACAGAGAUCUGACGGCGUAAAUAAAAAAGUUAAGAUAAGUAUGUAGAAGUUCGUUGGGGCAUAACUUCGGACGCGGGUUCGACUCCCGCCACCUCCACCA
rnacentral:tmRNA from 1 species